CACCCCAGCAAUGGGCAAAGAGACACCUUGUUGGUGGUGUUAUUCUCAGGUCAGUCAGGGGCAGGGCAGAUGUCAGUCCUUCAUUCACCCUAGCUUGAUGCCUGGCUUUGAGGCCAAGACUGUCUUAUGCCUGGGACACAUAA